rfam:Lactobacillus camelliae DSM 22697 = JCM 13995 strain DSM 22697 NODE_29, whole genome shotgun sequence.
CCUCAUCUGCAACCGCACAACGUCAGGUAUCAAAGCCUAGCACCUGGCUUGGCGAGUCUUCAGGGGAAA